GACCCAGUAGUAUAACGGUUACUACACUUGUACUAUUUAUGGAGCAGGGACGUAGUCUUCUGCAAGAGAUCCCUGUUCGACUCGGGGCUGGGUCA